UCCCUGGUGGCUCAGAUGGUAAAGCAUCUGCCUGCAACGCAGAAGACCUGGGUUCGAUCUCUGAGUCAGGUGA
rfam:Ovis aries breed Texel chromosome 3, whole genome shotgun sequence.